rnacentral:rRNA from 1 species
UACGGAGGAUGCAAGCGUUAUCCGGAUUUAUUGGGUUUAAAGGGUGCGCAGGUGGCUUUGUAAGUCACAUGUGAAAGCCCUCGGCUCAACUUCGGAUUGCCUUAGAAACUGGUGAGCUAGAGUGCAGGAGAGGGCAAUGGAAUUCCAUGUGUAGCGGUAAAAUGCGUAGAUAUAUGGAGGAACACCAGUGGCGAAGGCGGUUGCCUGGCCUGUAACUGACGCUGAGGCACGAAAGCGUGGGGAGCGAACA